rnacentral:lncRNA from 1 species
CUGCUUCAAAACUUAUGGUUAUGAUCUUAUUUUUCAAGAUUUUUUUAAUUAUCAUUAUUUAUGAGAAGUACAAGAACUACAUUAUCUAGAAAACUGCAUCUUGCUUUUAUCAUAGUAGUAAAAACAGCAUGGCAGCAAAAUCAACAUUUACAUGCUUUCUACUCAAAGGCCUCAGUCUUGACCUAAGAGUAGGAUAUUCUCUUUUGUCAGGUCAAUAUUUGACCUGUUUGUUAAUCUCAGCAGGAGCCCACAGCAGUGGCCAUUGUGAGGGUCAUUUCAGAUGCAAACAUCUGUCUGGUGUACACUAAAAUAGUGCCAGGAGGAAAGACUAAUUUUUUGGGUGGUCAGAAAAAUAAUGUGUAUAGCAACCAAUUUUUUUUUUUUUAAUUAUUCCUGAGUUCAUUCAGCAAACAAUAUGUAUAUUGCUUGUGUGGAUACCUUGACAACAAAUAACUUCUCUAAACUCCUCGCAUUACCUCUCUUUGCAGAAUUACACAUUCAGUAAAAGUAUUGAAAAGCAGCUAAAGAUGUCAAAAACAUUUACAGGCUAAACAGAUCCCAGCUCAGAUAACUCCAUUUCAAGUAAUCUAAAUUCAUCCCCAUUAUCACUUAAGUGAGCAUUAUGGCUGUUAGCAAACCCUACACAAAUAUUCAGAUUUUUGUUUUUCCUGUCAUGCUGAAGGUUAUCUCCCCAGUUGCUCUGAAAAAUCAGGUGACAACCAUUUCCCGUGAUGCUCUAAGGGCUGUCAAGCUGUCCAUCAAACUGUCACCUGACCAAUCGUUCCCAUGGUUCUUUUAGACUUCUCGUAUGAUAAAUUGAAAGGCACUAUUAUCUGCCUGUUGUGAAGAGGAACUGCUUAGGCUUUGAUAAGAUAUCACCAGUCCCAGGUGAGAGGAGGCUGACAGCACAUCAAGACAAGAAAACACAUGGAAGCAGUGAACAUGGGAGCAAAAGUGUUCAAAGGUAGAAGGGAUCUUCAUGAGGAACAGGAGUGCAGAGGAAGACAGGACUUUUCGCACAAGAUCAGGAAAAAAAAAAGUUUCAUGUAUAGAGUGGGAGAGAAGAAGCUGAAAAACAGGCAAAGAGGGAAGGGAAGCAUUUGGAUGCCACAGGGCAACAGCAGGUUGCAGAAAAAUGAAGAACAAGGCUGUGGAAAAGCAUCUGAUCCCGACCAGCUCCACACUAACCUGCCCCACCUGUUCUGUCACAGUUCCAGUAUUCCAGUCUAAGAUUUAGAAGAAAGAGCACUGCAGACUACCGUGACAUACAGAAUCUUUACAUGAACUUCUCACACUGCAACCCACCAGGAACAGACUAAACAUCUCUGUCAGAAGUUAUUUCACAAUGGUGUAAGUUGACAAUGCAAUAGCUGUAGCUGAAGGUACAGAAAUAAACAGGUGAUAUCAUUAGUUAACCUGGACUGU